rnacentral:rRNA from 1 species
GAGACAGUUCGGUCCCCAUCCGUCGCGGGCGUUGGAAAUUUGAGAGGAGCUGUCCUUAGUACGAGAGGACCGGGAUGGACUUACCGCUGGUGUACCAGUUGUUCUGCCAAGGGCAUUGCUGGGUAGCUAUGUAGGGAAGGGAUAAACGCUGAAAGCAUCUAAGUGUGAAGCCCACCUCAAGAUGAGAUUUCCCAUUUCUUUAAGAAAGUAAGAUCCCUGAGAGAUGAUCAGGUAGAUAGGUCAGGAGUGGAAGUACAGUGAUGUAUGGAGCGGACUGAUACUAAUCGAUCGAGGACUUAACCAAU